GGGAUUAGAUACCCCACUAUGCCAUGCCAUUAACUAUGAUAAUUCAUCCGCCAGAGAACUACGCGCUACCAGCGUGAAACUCAAAAAACUUGACGGUGUCUCACACCUACCUAGAGGAGCCUGUUCUAUAAUCGAUAACCCACGCUAAACCUCUCCCACAAUUGUACCACCAGCCUAUAUACCUCCGUCGCCAGCCCGCCUGAUAACAGACACCAAGCGAGUAUAAUAGUCUAACCACUAGCACGACAGGUCAAGGUGUAGCUAAUAUGUGGGCUGCAAUGGGCUACAUUUUUUAUUCUAAAACAAACCCGAGUGUUAUGAAAACCGCACAAAAAGGUGGAUUUAGCAGUAAGCAAGGAUUAGCAUGCCCGCCUGAAACCUGCCCUGAGAUGCGUACACACCGCCCGUCACCCUCA
rnacentral:rRNA from 1 species